GACGAACGCUGGCGGCGUGCUUAACACAUGCAAGUCGAACGGAAAGGCCCUUCGGGGUACACGAGUGGCGAACCGGUGAGUAACACGUGGGUGAUCUGCCCUGCACUUCGGGAUAAGCCUGGGAAACUGGGUCUAAUACCGGAUAGGACCCUGGGAUGCAUGUCCUGGGGUGGAAAGCUUUUGCGGUGUGGGAUGGGCCCGCGGCCUAUCAGCUUGUUGGUGGGGUGAUGGCCUACCAAGGCGACGACGGGUAGCCGGCCUGAGAGGGUGACCGGCCGAGCUGGGACUGAGAUACGGCCCAGACUCCUACGGGAGGCAGCAGUGGGGAAUAUUGCACAAUGGGCGCAAGCCUGAUGCAGCGACGCCGCGUGAGGGAUGACGGCCUUCGGGUUGUAAACCUCUUUCAGCACCGACGAAGCGCAAGUGACGGUAGGUGCAGAAGAAGGACCGGCCAACUACGUGCCAGCCGCCGCGGUAA
rnacentral:rRNA from 1 species